rnacentral:lncRNA from 1 species
GAUUAUAAUAAGAAUUUUACCGUCUCGAUCAUUGAGUAAAUAGUUUAAUUGGUCCCUAGAGGGGUUUCGGGGACAAUUAUGUGCGGAGGAUUAUUCGUAUGAGGAAAAUACGACGACGGUAAAAAUAGUAAAUUUUAGCUAGUAAAAGGUAAUUUUUAUUCGGGUAUUAUUUUUCGGGGUGUUGAAUUUUGGAAUUAUGGGUUAAAAGGGGUGUUGGGUCGGCUGGGCCGAGCCCAACCCAUUUCUUCUUCUUUCUCUUCUCCCUCCCUCCCGAUUUUUCUUCUCCUCCCACCCGAUUUUCUUCUCUCUACACCCAGCAGAUUUCCGGCCGUCCUCCCGCCGCCGUCCGACCUCCGUUCGCCGCCGGACCGGUCCCGUUCGGUCGGUCUCCCUCCCAGCAACAUUUCUAGACCGGUGAGAGGAGCCCUAGCGCCGCCGUGAGAGAGCGGUGCCGCCCGAAAGCAAGGGCUGCCCCGAGCUUCCCUUCACCGGAACUUCUUCCUCCGGCCACCAAUCCGGGCAAGCUUGGUAUGGUUUUGUAGCCCUCCAACCCAGCAACCUUGCCCUAAAAGGACUCACUCCCUCUUGAGCUAGGUAAGGAGAAAUUUGAGGUGGAAGUUUUAUGGUGUUUUUGAUGUUUUUAGUCGAUUGCCCUAGUUAGGCUUGGAAUUGGUGUUUGUGCUAGUUAUGAAAGUUGUAGAGCUUGAUGAGAGGAAGAUGCUGUUAAAAUUUCAUAGGUUUUGGAGGUCGCCGGAAUUGACCUCCGGCCGCCGCUGCCGGCGGAGCCGCCGGCGGCGCCGCCGCCGGUUGGGAGAUUUUUAAAUGUUGUUAAAUUUGGAAUAUUAAGGGGAGUUUAUUGAAGUGAGUUAUGGAAUUUUGGAUGAGUUUUGGAUAGGUUUAUGAAUUUCCGAAGUGUGGUAUUUUUGGCGGGUAAUUAAUGUAGAAUCCGGCCGUUGGAUUUAAGUCGUAUUUUGGAGAGGUUGUAUUUACGACUGUUGAGUAUGAUAUUUAAGUUC